rnacentral:rRNA from 1 species
GACAUCAGACGCUGAGACGCGACAGCACGGGGAGCGAACGGGAUUAGAAACCCCGGUAGUCCGUGCCGUAAACGAUGUGUACUAGAUGUUCGGUUGACUACGGUUGAUUGAGCGUCGAAGCAAACGCGAUAAGUACACCGCCUGGGGAGUACGGUCGCAAGGCUAAAACUCAAAGGAAUUGACGGGGCCCCGCACAAGCAGCGGAGCGUGUGGUUUAAUUCGAGGCUACGCGAAGAACCUUACCUAGGUUUGACAUCUGGCGCAAUCCUGUGAAAGCAGGAGUUCCGCAAGGACGCCAAGACAGGUGCUGCAUGGCUGUCGUCAGCUCGUGUCGUGAGAUGUUCGGUUAAGUCCGAAAACGAGCGCAACCCCCGGGUCUAGUUACAAGUGUCUAGACCGACUGCCUGCGACAAGUGGGAGGAAGGUGGGGAUGACGUCAAGUCAGCAUGGCCUUUACAUCUAGGGCUACACACACGCUACAAUGGCGCGUACAGUGGGAAGCAAGACCGCGAGGUGGAGCGAAUCCUGAAAGCGCGUCGUAGUUCGGAUUGCAGGCUGCAGCUCGACCUCAUGAAGCCGGAAUCGCUAGUAAUCGCGGGUCAGCUAUACCGCGGUGAAUACGUUCUCAAGUCUUGUACUCACCGCCC